GACGAACGCUGGCGGCGUGCUUAACACAUGCAAGUCGAACGGAAAGGCCCUGCUUUUGUGGGGUGCUCGAGUGGCGAACGGGUGAGUAACACGUGAGUAACCUGCCCUUGACUUUGGGAUAACUUCAGGAAACUGGGGCUCAUACCGGCUAGGAUCUCCUGCUGCAUGGUGGGGGUUGGAAAGUUUCGGCGGUUGGGGAUGGACUCGCGGCUUAUCAGCUUGUUGGUGGGGUAGUGUCUUACCAAGGCUUUGACGGGUAGCCGGCCUGAGAGGGUGACCGGCCACAUUGGGACUGAGAUACGGCCCAGACUCCUACGGGAGGCAGCAGUGGGGAAUAUUGCACAAUGGGCGGAAGCCUGAUGCAGCAACGCCGCGUGCGGGAUGACGGCCUUCGGGUUGUAAACCGCUUUCGCCUGUGACGAAGCGUGAGUGACGGUAAUGGGUAAAGAAGCACCGGCUAACUACGUG
rnacentral:rRNA from 1 species